rnacentral:rRNA from 1 species
UACGUAGGUGGCAAGCGUUUGUCCGGAUUUACUGGGCGUAAAGAGCGCGCAGGCGGUCGUUCAAGUCGCGUGUGAAAGCCCCCGGCUCAACUGGGGAGGGUCACGCGAUACUGAUCGACUCGAAGGCAGGAGAGGGAAGUGGAAUUCCCGGUGUAGUGGUGAAAUGCGUAGAUAUCGGGAGGAACACCAGUGGCGAAGGCGACUUCCUGGCCUGUUCUUGACGCUGAGGCGCGAAAGCUAGGGUAGCAAACGGG